rnacentral:rRNA from 1 species
UGGGGAAUAUUGCACAAUGGGCGAAAGCCUGAUCCAGCAAUGCCGCGUGUGUGAAGAAGGCCUUCGGGUUGUAAAGCACUUUUGUCCGGAAAGAAAUCCUUGGCUCUAAUACAGUCGGGGGAUGACGGUACCGGAAGAAUAAGCACCGGCUAACUACGUGCCAGCAGCCGCGGUAAUACGUAGGGUGCAAGCGUUAAUCGGAAUUACUGGGCGUAAAGCGUGCGCAGGCGGUUUGCUAAGACCGAUGUGAAAUCCCCGGGCUCAACCUGGGAACUGCAUUGGUGACUGGCAGGCUAGAGUAUGGCAGAGGGGGGUAGAAUUCCACGUGUAGCAGUGAAACGCGUAGAGAUGUGGAGGAAUACCGAUGGCGAAGGCAGCCCCCUGGGCCAAUACUGACGCUCAUGCACGAAAAGCGUGGGGAGCAAAACAGGAUUAGAUACCCCUGGUAGUCCACGCCCUAAAACGAUGUCAACUAGUUGUUGGGGGAUUCAUUUCCUUAGUAACGUAGCUAACGCGUGAAGUUGACCGCCUGGGGAGUACGGUCGCAAGAUUAAAACUCAAAUGAAUUGACGGGGUCAUAGCUGUUUCCU